GAUGAACGCUGGCGGCGUGCCUAAUACAUGCAAGUCGAGCGAACGGACGAGAAGCUUGCUUCUCUGAUGUUAGCGGCGGACGGGUGAGUAACACGUGGAUAACCUACCUAUAAGACUGGGAUAACUUCGGGAAACCGGAGCUAAUACCGGAUAAUAUUUUGAACCGCAUGGUUCAAAAGUGAAAGACGGUCUUGCUGUCACUUAUAGAUGGAUCCGCGCUGCAUUAGCUAGUUGGUAAGGUAACGGCUUACCAAGGCAACGAUGCAUAGCCGACCUGAGAGGGUGGUCGGCCACACUGGAACUGAGACGCGGUCCAGGCUCCUACGGGAGGCAGCAGUAGGGAAUCUUCCGCAAUGGGCGAAAGCCUGACGGAGCAACGCCGCGUGAGUGAUGAAGGUCUUCGGAUCGUAAAACUCUGUUAUUAGGGAAGAACAUAUGUGUAAGUAACUGUGCACAUCUUGACGGUACCUAAUCAGAAAGCCACGGCUAACUACGUG
rnacentral:rRNA from 1 species